rnacentral:lncRNA from 1 species
AAAGACGGAGGCACAGGGACUGAAGGAACGGAGUUGAGGUUUCACCUUCGAGGGUUCCCCAGACCCGACCCACCAGCUGCGAUUGAGAUGGGCACAGCUCAGGGCUCCAGUUUGAGACACUCCACUGCCUGGGCUCAGGAGCUCAAGAUCGAGAGGAUUUUGUUGAGCGCCCGCCUGAGCGUACCUCCACUUCCCUGAGCAAAGGCAGCAAGAGCUACUGGUCUGAGGGUCAGCGGGGCGUGCCUGCCACCACCACCACCAACUGAGGCUCUCUCCUAAAAUGACACUCACACCCGUUCUCCACCAAGCUUCUCUGGGCCUCGUCCUUCUACCUCACAACCUC